rnacentral:lncRNA from 1 species
CACCUCCACCUAUGAUGUGUAUAUGGUGGACUCCCCCAACACCAUUGGGGAGAAUAGUGAUGGCAUAGCCACAGAGAACGACAAUGACCCUGGUACCUCCAAAUCACUGACGCCAACGCAAACGAUCCAAGGGGCACAAGGGAAAGGAAAGCAACAAGGGCACCAGAGAGGACAACACCUCGGAUAACGUAGAAGACCUCGAGAACCCGAUUUCUCCUGAACACUUGGAAGGGUGAGGGGAUCACAACCCCGAGGACCUCGAUGACUCCAAAGAUAGCAACUACCUCUCUCUUAUCGAAGAGGAGGCUAGUCUCUAAGGCGAGGAUUUUAUCGUCCCAGAGGACCCGCUGGAUCUGGAGUAGUUCAAACAACAUAAUAUAGCCACCGCCCGAAGCCUGAAGAAAAAACAAAAGCAGAUCAAAGCUGAACAAGACACCGGUAACGACAGACGGACGAAAGUCCUAAUAGCCAAAGAAGGGUACAUCGAUGAUUGGCGUGAUCAAAAUAAAAGCUACCCGCACCAAAGAUUGCUGCCAGAAUUUGACAACAAGCCCUUUGAGCCCACACCUCCUGGAGGACGCACUCAGGGCAAUGCUACGGCAACAGACAACAGCGCCAGAAAUUGACACGUUGACGGAGACUCGGCUUGCGUUGGUUUUUCCCUUGAAGAGGAAAGGGUGAUGCAGCACAGGAGCAAUAAGUAUUUCCCUCAGUUUGAGAACCAAGGUAUCGAUCCAUAAGGAGGGUCUCGUCAAGUCCAGAGUACCUGCGCAAACACAAACGAGUUUGCACCCAACGCUUCAAAGGGGUUGUCAAUCCCUUCAAGAUUGUUUGCAAAGUGAGAUGUGAAGGCGGAAAGUGCAACAAAGUAAAAGUGUAAGGCUGAAAAUAUGGUGUGGAGUAGACCCGGGGGCCAUAGUGUUCACUGGAGGCUUCUCUCAAAAUAGCAAAUAUCACGGUGGGUAAACAAAUUACUGUCGAGCAAUUGAUAGAACCGCGCAAAGUCAUGACGAUAUCUAAGGCAAUGAUCAUACAUAUAGGCAUCACGUCUGAGACAAGUAGACCGAUACUUUCUGCAUCUACAACUAUUACUCCACACAUCGACUGCUAUCCAGCAUGCAUCUGGUGUAUUGAGUUCAUGACGAACAGAGUAACGCCUUAAGCAAGAUGACAUGAUGUAGAGGGAUAAUCUUAAACCAAUGAUGAAAACCCCAUCUUUUUAACCUUGAUGGCAACAACAUGAUGCGUGCCUCGCUACCCCUUCUAUCACUAGGUGAGGUCACCAAACGGUAUGAACCCAAACCAAGCACUUCUCCCAUUGCAAGAAUCAUAGAUCUAGUUGGCCAAACAAAACCCACAACUCGGAGAGAAUUACAAGGAUAUGAAAUCAUGCAUAAGAGAUAUCAGAAGAAACUCAAAUAAGAUUCAUAGAUAAUCUGAUCAUCGGAUCUCGACAAACACACCGCAAAAGAAGAUUACAUCAGAUAGAUCUCCAUGAAGAUCAUGGAGAACUUUGUAUUGAAGAUCCAAGAGAGAGAAGAAGCCAUCUAGUUACUAGCUAUGGACCCGUAGGUCUAUGGUGAACUACUCAUGCAUCAUCGGAGAGAUCAUGGUGUUGAUGAAGAAGCCCUUCGUAUCCGAAUCCCCCCUCCAGCAGGGCACCAGAACGUGCCCCAGAUGGGAUCUUGUGGAGACAGAAGCUUGCAGCGACGGAAAAGUACUUUCGAUGAUCUCCUGAUUUUUUCUGGAAUUUUUGGGGAUAUAUAGGCGCAAAACCUAGGGAAAAGGAUGCCCAUGGAGCCCACAAGCCUGUGGGCCGCAUCCUCCGCCCUGGCCGCGGGGUGGGGGCUUGUGGGGCCCCUGGGGCUCCCUGCCUUGGCUCUCAAGUCUCCUGAUCUUCUUCCGUUACGGAAAAAUUCUUUUUCGGGGAUUUUAUUCCGUUUGGACUCCGUUUCAAAAUCUCCUCUGAAAGGGGUCAAAAACAUGGAAAAAACAAGAACUGGCACUUGGCACUGAGUUAAUAAGUUAGUCCCAAAAAAUAUAUAAAAGGCAUGCAAAACAUCCAAAGUUUGACUAGAUAAUAGCAUGAAACCAUCAAAAAUUAUAGAUAUGUUGGAGACGUAUCAUGGCGCCAUAGCCUUCUUGGGCUGACUCCACCAGCCCACUAAGGACUUGGUGCGCCACCCUAGUUUCCUGCUCCAAGAGAAACUGACACUUGUUAUUUAGAGCAACCUAAAUUCCUCAAAGUCUUUGAGCGAAAAUCCAAGUGAGAAAAUUCCCCAAACACCCAAACCCAAACCAAACCCCAAGUGAUUGAGCAUCACUGACUAAGUUUUCCCCUUGUGGAACCGACGCUUGUUACCUUUGAGGAUUGUGCAUCCUCCAGACAGCUAGGCGUCAUGGUCUAGAGCAUCCAACAGUCAAUUGUGGAUCGUCGGGUGAACAAGUUUGUGAGGGUUUGGAAGUCUGCCCUGAAGACUAACCACGAGUGUUGGGCGAGGACUGUGUGUCCUUAGCUCAAGGAGAAUACGGUAGGGACUUCAUGUCCCGGGACUGUGUGUCCUUUGGUUUCAAUACCAAGCCACUCCAAACUAGAUGUAUAACUGUCACAGCAGUUGGAACUGGAGAAUUUUUGGGGAUAUAUAGUUACAAUAGGCUUCUCUCGUUCACUAGAGGCUUCUCUCAAAAUAGCAAAUAUUACGGUGGGUGAACAAAUUACUGUCGAGCAAUUGAUAGAACCGUGCAAAGUCAUGGCGAUAUCUAAGGCAAUGAUCUAGCAUAUAGGCAUCACGUCCGAGAUAAGUAGACCGAUACUUUCUGCAUCUACUACUAUUAAUCCACACAUCGACCGCUAUCCAGCAUGCAUCUAGUGUAUUGAGUUCAUGAUGAAGAGAGUAACGCUUUAAGCAAGAUGACAUGAUGUAGAGGGAUAAUCUCAAACCAAUGAUGAAAACCCCAUCUUUUUACCCUUGAUGGCAACAACACAAACGUGCCUCGCUACCCCUUCUAUCACUGGGUGAGGUCACCGCACGGUAUGAACCCAAAACCAAUCACUUCUCCCAUUGCAAGAAUCAUAGAUCUAGUUGGCCAAACAAAACCCACAACUCGAAUAGAAUUACAAGGAUAUGAAAUCAUGCAUAAGAGAGAUCAGAAGAAACUCAAAUAAGAUUCAUAGAUAAUCUGAUCAUAAAUCCACAAUUCAUCGGAUCUCGACAAACACACCGCAAAAGAAGAUUACAUCGGAUAGAUCUCCAUACAGAUCAUGGAGAACUUUGUAUUGAAGAUCCAAGAGAGAGAAGAAGACAUCUAGUUACUAGCUAUGGACCCGUAGGUCUAUGGUGAACUACUCACGCAUCAUCUGAGAGGUCAUGGUGUUGAUGGAGAAGCCUUCCGUGUCCGAAUCCCCCCUCCGGCAGGGCACCAGGACGUGCCCCAGAUGGGAUCUUGCGGAGACACAAGGCGGAAAAGUGAUUACGAUGCUCCCCUGAUUUUUUUGGGAAUAUUUGGGAAUUUAUAGGCGCAAGAUCUAGGUCAGGGGACCUCCAGGGGGCCCACAAGCCUGCAUGGCGCGGCCCCCUGGCCACGGGGUGGGGGCUUGUGGGGCCCGUGGGGCUCUUCUGGCUUGGCCCCCAAGCUCUCUGAUCUUCUUCCGUUCCAGAAAAAAUCUUUUCGGGGAUUUUCUUCCAUUUGGACUCCGUUUCAAAAUCUCCUCUAAAAGGGGUCAAAAACAUGGAAAAACAGGAACUGGCACUUGGCACCGAGUUAAUAGGUUAGUCCCAGAAAAUAAAUAAAAGACAUGCAAAACAUCCAAAGUUUGACAAGAUAAUAGCAUGAAACCAUCAAAAAUUAUAGAUACGUUGGAGACGUAUCAAGCAUCCCCAAGCUUAACUCAUGCUCGUCCUCGAGUAGGGAAGUGAUAAAGAACGAAUUUUUGAUGUGGAAUGCUACCUAGCAUAGUUGUCCUUUGCAACUUCUUUCACGUGGCAUGAAUGUUCAUAUCCGUACGAUUCAGAACAAUAGUUUGCUAUUGACAUGAAAGCCGUAAUACUUCAAGCAAACUAGCAAAGUAAUCAUGAACUUUCAAAAUAACAAGGCCAAAGAAAGUUAUCCCUACAAAAUCAUAUAGUCUGGCUGAUUGGGUUAUAGUCCUAGGGUAGGGUCAUAGGCCUUCCCUAUAAGUCCUACCCAAGGACUACCCUUCAUAAGGGAUAAGGCCCUUAGUCAGUUCCGACAGAAUUAAGGACUUCCCAUCAUCCAGUCGGUGUCGAAUCCUCCAUCGUCCAGUCGGAGAUGAGCAUUCGGAGUGUAUCAAACUAACCGACUGGAUUCCACUCUAUGCAUCGUACCUGUAACGUAGGCAUUUAUUCGCCACUACUCAACCCCUGUGCACCGAACCAUUGUGAAGGGCAGCGCACUCUAUAUAAGCCGCCCUUCCCCACUGGUGCAAGGGUUAGAAAUUCACUGUAAUCCAUAUUCCACUCGACAACAAGCUCCCAGAGCACUGAGACGUAGGGCUAUUACCUCCACCGUAGAGGGGCCUGAACUCAUACAACCUCGUCGUAGCUAAGGCUCUGCCCAUCCUUUCAUACCCUACAGAUCUACUGUCAGACUUAUACCCACGACAGUUGGCGCCCACCGUGGGGAAGGCGUCUAAGCGACUUCCGGUGAGUUUGCGACUACAUCUUUCCGUCAUGUCUUCCGGUGGAGAUUUGAGCAUGGGUCACGAGAUCCUCUUCGACGCUCUCUCCUUCAUCGUCGACGAUUUGGCAUGGCUUCGGGACGCCCCUCUCGACAUCAAGGCGCUCCCCCAUCGCGGGGCUACGCACUUCCGUGCCGGCGCCCGCGGUGUUCUUCUUCUCCAGCAGUCGGCUCCGGUGUCGACCUAUGCCGCCGUCACGCGCCGCAACAAGCGGUCCCUCCGUCCGUGGCUCCAGCGUUGGGUGCAACACGCCCAGGCGCGCCAGAACGCGUCUUCACAAGUGGCGGUCUUAGAGUCGGUUGUGGUUGCCCCGCCGUCCCAGCGCUCGGACUCGGUUCCGACUGAGUUUCCUUCCGAGUACUUGGGUCGCGGGCCUGCAGCAGAAGUGCACAUGGCCAACUCCCAUGAAAGUCCCCGCCAAACUGGCCGGAACGAGCAUGAGAUCGGCGAAACAUCCGGUGCUCGCCGUCCGCCCCGUCGUUCAGCCAGUCGGCACACUCGACGGAGCAACGUGGAGUUGUUCCGCACACCCAUCCUCAACCUGGCUGCUGCCGCCAAGAUAGCCGAUUCCCUUCAGCUGACUGCUUCAGAGGCUGGCAGGGGGAUCGAGCAAAUCCGCGCCCUGCUGCACACGACGCAACAGCAAAAUUCGGCGGUCUCCUAGUCGCACAACAGGAUCCACAAUAGUUGUGUUCAUGCGAACACGCAUCGGUCAGUUCACAGAGUUCUCAUCAGCGACACACGGGAGGCAGUCGUUCCAUAAAUCCCGAAGAUCGUCGCCGUUCACGCACCCCUCCGCGGGGUGGGCCCUACGGGCCCCGACAUCAUGAUGAUCGGCGUUCAGUCGGUGACACUUACGAUCCAAGGCCCGAUGCGAGAGGGCAUAUCGCCCAGCGGAGGGUCGACAGGGGCCGAGCCCACCGCGAUGGUCUCGAUUUGGACCGUCCGAGUGGAAGCAGGACCAUCGUCUCUGGUCCCGAGUGUUUCAGUCGAGCCAUCCGUUUGGCUGACAUCCCUCCCAACUUCCGAUUGGCGACGGGGAGCAGCAAGUUUACAGGAGAGUUCAAGCCAGAAACAUGGCUGGACGACUACCGAGUGGCAGUCCAUAUCGGAGGAGGGGACGACCACGUCGCCAUGAAGCACCUCCCUCUGAUGCUCGACGGCUUGGCGCGAGCGUGGCUGAACCAAUUGGCCGCCUCAAGCAUCUACAGCUGGGCAGAUCUGGCCCAAGUGUUCAUCAGGACCUUCGAAGGGACGUGCAAGCGCCCUGCUGGCCUCGUGGAGCUCCAGCACUGUGUCCAGAAGCAGAAUGAGCCCCUGCACGAUUUCAUUCAGCGUUGGACGACCCUCUACCACACGAUGGAGAACGUCGCAGAGCACCAAGCAGUCUGCGCCUUCAAGGCAGGCGUGCGGUACAGAGAUUUGUACUUGAAGUUCGGCCGAACAGGCGACAUCUCCAUGAGCAAGAUGAUGGAGAUAGCGGCACGCUAUGCAAAUGGAGAAGAAGAGGACCGCAUCCGUAGCGGCAAGCACAAAACAGUCGCUGAUGGAGAUGGGAAUAACACUCGGAAGCAGAAGCAGAAAGCUUCGUCCACUCCGCAGGCAGAAGCCGCGGCUGUUACCAAUGCCAAGUUCAAGGGCAAUGGGAAGGCUCAGUUCAACCCCAAGAAGAAGUAGUUCAAUAACCCCAUCCUGGACCAGCCAUGUCUGAUUCACACGAAGAUGGAUGAAGAGGGCAACGCCAUAUAUCCGAAGCAUACCACUCGGUAAUGUCGCCUCCUGAUCCAGGGGUUCGGCGAAGGGCAACCGAGUGAUAAGGGCAAUGAACAGGAUGAGGAGGACAAGUUGGAUCCGUUCCCCCAAGUCCAUGCAACACUGAUGAUUUUUGCUGACGUUGAGAGCAAGAGUCGACUAAAGCUGGUGAACAGGGAGGUGAACAUGGCCGUGCCGACCAACCCCACGUUCCUCAAAUGGUCUCAGACUGCGAUCACCUUUGACCAAUCGGAUCAUCCAGCACACGUACCCACCCCAGGGAGGCAGGCUCUGGUCGUCGACCCGGUGGUGGAAGGAGUCCGACUGCGCAAAGUCCUCAUGGACGGCGGCAGUGGCUUGAACAUCAUGUACGCCGACACUCUCAAGGGGAUGGGCAUUCCGAUGUCCAAACUCAGCGAGAGCAGCAUGCAGUUCCAUGGAGUCGUCCCUGGACGAAAGGCCAAGUCACUCGGCCAGAUCACGUUGGACGUCGUCUUCGGCUCCGACAAGAACUUCCGCAAGGAAAAGCUGAUGUUCGAGGUGGUGGACUUCCAGAGCGCGUACCACGCAAUUCUGGGCCGCCCAGCGUAUGCGCGUUUUAUGGCCCAUCCAUGUUAUGUGUACCUGAAGCUGAAGAUGCCAGACCCGAAAGGUGUGAUCACUAUCACAGGCAAUCGGCAACGGGCCGAGGAGUGUCUGCAGCAGGGAUCGAGGAUCGCCGAUCAGCACGUGGCUGUCCUCGAUCUUGACGAGUACAAGAAGACAGUCGACCCCGCUGACUUAAUGCAUUCGAAGAAGCCAGCUUCGGAGUCCGCAUUCCAGUCGGCGGGAGAGACGAAGAAGGUCAGCAUCCACCCGACAGACGACACCGCUGCCCCGACGAACAUCUCCACCACCCUCGAUCCUAAAUAGGAAGCCGAGCUCAUCCAAUUCCUCCGUGAGAACUGGGACAUCUUCGCAUGGAAGCCUUCUGACAUGCCAGGUGUACCCAGGGAGUUGGCUGAGCACCGACUGCAUGUGGAUCCCGCCGCUCGGCCAGCCCGAGAACGCGUGCGUCGGUCCGCCGCGCACAAGAGGAAGGAAAUCGGAGAAGAGGUGGCCAAGCUUUUGGCGGCCAACUUCAUUCGCGAGGUACACCACACCGAGUGGCUCGCCAAUGUUGUCAUGGUGCCGAAGAAGGACAAGUCGCUCUGAAUGUGCAUCGACUUCAAGCAUCUCAAUAAGGUCUGCCCGAAAGACCAUUUUCCGCUCCCCCGCAUCGAUCAAAUUGUCGAUUCGACUCCGGGCUGCGAGCGUUUGUCAUUUCUUGAUGCCUACUCGGGCUAUCAUCAGAUCCGUCUGUAUGGCCCCGAUGAAUUAAAAAUAGCCUUCAUCACCCCAUUCGGGUGCUUCUGCUACAUCACUAUGCCAGUUGGUUUGAAGAAUGCAGGAGCAACCUUUAUGUGCAUGAUCCAAAAAUGCCUCCUCGACCAGAUCGGUCGGAAUGUGGAGGCGUAUAUGGAUGAUAUCAUAGUCAAGUCACGCAAAGGUUCCGACCUGCUGACUGACUUGGCAGAAACAUUCGCCAACCUUCGUAGGUAGGAUAUCAAACUCAACCCGGCCAAGUGUUCAUUCGGUGUUCCCAGCGGCAAGUUACUCGGUUUCUUUGUUUCCCAACGAGGGAUCGAUGUAAACCCCGAAAAGAUCGGGACCAUCGUCCGAAUGGAGCGGCCGGUCAGAAUACACGAUGUUCAAAGGCUCACAGGUUGCCUAGCGGCUUUGAGCAGGUUUAUCAGUCGACUCGGCGAGAAAGCACUUCCUCUGUACCGACUCAUGAAGAAAUCAGAUACUUUCGAGUGGACAGACGAAGCCCAAGUUGCAUUCGACGACCUCAAAGUCCUACUUUCCACCCAGCCGGUUCUUACUGCUCCGCUCAGGAAAGAGCCCCUUCUUCUGUACAUCGCGGCUACAAAUCAAGUCGUCAGCACUGUUCUCACAGUCGAACGAGAAGAAGAAGACAAAGCAUACAAAGUUCAGUGGCCAGUGUAUUACGUCUCCGAAGUCCUGACUCCUUCCAAGCAGAGGUAUCCCCACUAUCAAAAACUUAUCUACGGGAUUUACCUAACUACGAAGAAGGUGGCUCAUUAUUUUCAAGACCACUCGGUGUCUGUCGUUUCUGAUGCUCCGUUGUCGGAAAUCCUCCACAAUCGGGACGCAUCGGGCCGAGUGGCGAAGUGGGCAAUGGAGAUGUUGUACUGCGACAUCAAGUUCGAGGCCAAGAAAGCUAUAAAGUCUCAAGCUCUGGCUGACUUCAUAGCAGAAUGGGUAGAAUAACAGCAACCGACCCACAUCUACUCGGCUCAUUGGACAAUGUUCUUCGAUGGGUCCAAGAUGUUGAAUGGCUCUGGCGCUAGCGUUGUGAUCGUAUCGCCAAAGGACGACAAACUCAAGUAUGUGCUGCAGAUACACUUUGAUUCCUCCAACAAUGAGGCAGAGUAUGAAGCUCUCCUUUAUGGACUGCGCAUGGCCAUCGCACUCGGCGUCCGUCGCCUGAUGGUCUAUGGCGAUUCGGAUUUGGUGGUUAAUCAAGUGAUGAAGGAGUGGGACGUCAGGAACCCCACCAUGACCACAUACUGCAAUGCAGUGAGGAAGCUCGAGAAAAAGUUUGAAGGUCUAGAACUCCACCAUGUUCCGCGACUGAAGAACCAAGCAGCUGAUGAGUUGGCAAAACUCGGAUCCACUCGGAGACCAGUCCCGAGUGACGUCUGCCUCGAGCACCUCCACCUUCCCUCAGUUAAAGAAGAUCCUUUCACAGAGGAACCAGUACAACCAAAGAGCUCGACAGAUCCGACUAAAGUCGACGUACCUGCUGUGGUUGAUUUGAUCAUGGAGAUUCUUGUUGUCAUCCCCGAUUGGACUAUGCUGAUCAUUGCAUACAUCCUGAGGCAAGAAUUACCAGAAGACGAAGUCCAAGCAAGACAGAUCGUUGCCAAAGAUUUCAGAGCUGGCUUCUUCUGGCUGCAGGCGAAUGAAAUGGCUAAAGAUAUGGUCGACCAAUGUGAAGGCUGCCAGUUCUACUCCAACAAGUCCCACAAGCCAACAUCUGCGUUGAAGACAAUCCCUCUCGUUUGGCCGUUUGCGUUAUGGGGAUUAGAUACAGUCGGUCCAUUCAGGACAGGCCAAGGGGGUUCACACAUCUGUUGGUAGCAGUCGACAAAUUCACAAAGUGGAUCAAAGCCAAGCCCAUCAAGAAGCUCGACGCCCCAACGGCCAUCAAGUUUGUCAGGGACAUCAUCUCCAGAUUCGGGGUACCUCACAGCAUAAUCACUUACAAUGGAACACACUUUGACUCGGACAGGUUCAAAGGUUUCUGUACAGGCCAAGGUAUCCGAGUGGAUUUCGCAUCUGUGGCGCAUCCCCAAACAAACGGGCAAGCAGAGCGGGCGAAUGGACUUAUUCUGCAAGGUUUGAAGCCUCGACUCCUGCAAGGGGUGGGACAUGCCGCUGGCGCAUGGGUCACCGAGCUACCUUCGGUGCUUUGGGGUCUCCGCACAACCCCAAAUAGAUCUACAGGGCGAUCCUCGUUCUUCCUCGUUUACGGAGCAGAGGCAGUCCUUCCGAGUGACUUGCUUCACAACGCUCCACGAGUUGAACUCUUCUCCGAAGCUGAAGCAGAACAAGCAAGGCAAGACGGAGUGGAUCUUUUAGAGGAGGAGCGCGAGAUGGCACUGACUCGCUCAACCAUUUAUCAACAAGAUCUGCGACGCUUUCACGCGCGACACGUCAGGAGUCGCACAUUCCAAGCAGGCGACCUGGUGCUCCGAGUGGAUCAGCAGAGACCUCACAAGUUGGCUCCCGCCUGGGAAGGACCCUUCAUCAUCUCCAAGGUGUUGAGCAACGGAGCAUACCGACUCUACAACAUCGACAGGGAAACGGACAAGCCGCGAGCAUGGAACGGAGACCUCCUGAAGCGCUUCUACACGUGACCGUCGACUGAAGCAAUGUAAAGAACAAGUAUCGGUGAAAUAAUACAAAGCAGAUUGAGUUUUUGCAGGUUCAAAAUUCUUCCACGGUCGCACACUCCGGUCUCAAAAAAAACUUAGCUGCGAUCAAGAAUCGCAUAAGUACUAACUUUCUCCGAGUGUGCACUAAACGUCGCACUCGAGGACUUAGCUGCGAUCCAGAAUCGCCUAAGUAUUAACUUUCUCCGAGUGUGUACUUAAUGUCGCACUCGGGGACUUAGCUGCGAUCAAGAAUUGCCUAAGUAUUAACUUUCUCCGAGUGUGCACUUAACGUCGCACUCGGGGACUUAGCUGCGAUCAAGAAUCGCCUAAGUACAAACUAUCUCCGAAUGUGCACUAAACGUCGCACUCGGGGACUUAGCUGCGAUCAGGAAUCGCCUAAGUAUUAACUUUCUCCGAGUGUGCACUUAACGUCGCACUCGGGGACUUAGCUGCGAUCAAAAAUUUCCUAAGUACAAACUAUCUCCGAGUGUGCACUAAACGUCGUACUCGGGGACUUAGCUGCGAUCAAGAAUCGCCUAAGUACAAAUUUUCUCCGAGUAUGCACUAACCGUCGCACUCGGGGACUUAGCUGCGAUCACGAAUCGCCUAACUACACACUUUCUCCGAGUGUGCACUGAACAUCGCACUCGGGGACUUGUCUAUAAUCAAGAAUCGCUUAAAUACAAAGCUUCCUUCGAGUGUAUCUCACAGAUCCACUCGGAGGCUUAGCAGACCCUCAUUGAGGCUCAUGNNNNNNNNNNNNNNNNNNNNNNNNNNNNNNNNNNNNNNNNNNNNNNNNNNNNNNNNNNNNNNNNNNNNNNNNNNNNNNNNNNNNNNNNNNNNNNNNNNNNNNNNNNNNNNNNNNNNNNNNNNNNNNNNNNNNNNNNNNNNNNNNNNNNNNNNNNNNNNNNNNNNNNNNNNNNNNNNNNNNNNNNNNNNNNNNNNNNNNNNNNNNNNNNNNNNNNNNNNNNNNNNNNNNNNNNNNNNNNNNNNNNNNNNNNNNNNNNNNNNNNNNNNNNNNNNNNNNNNNNNNNNNNNNNNNNNNNNNNNNNNNNNNNNNNNNNNNNNNNNNNNNNNNNNNNNNNNNNNNNNNNNNNNNACAAUUACAUGAGUAGCUGAAACUCAUUGAGGCUCAUGUAGAUGUCAAGACCACUGACAAUUACAUGAGUAAUAACUCGCUCCAAGAACGACCUUACAGUCGCACUCGAAGACUUAGCCGCGAUCACGAAUCGCCUAAGUACUCAAUUGCCAUGUGAAGGAGGAUAUAAGCAAGCUUUUGGAUGUUGAGUGUCCUAGAUUAUAACUUGUUGUAGAUUAAUUAGAUGUUAUGUAAUUGGAGUCAGUAUUCCUAUCCUAUGGUACGAAGAUUGUUUGCAACCGUGUAUGCAUGCAUAGUAGGCAGAAUGGUGUACAGGAGGUGCUCUUUUGGUAUGCUACUGUGUUGUGACUUAUGUGAACCAUUUUGUGUCUGUUCAUUCUAUGUUGAAGAGGUAAGGGCAUGCAAGUCUUUUUUAGAUGAUGCUAGUCUCAGUUAUGAACUCGUGGUAUUUUGACUAGAAAAACUGAACUCAGUGCUAUUUGGCAAGUUGGCUUUUACUAGUGAUAUUUUGGCAUGUUUGGUUGUGACUAGUGGUAGUUUGGCUAUUCACUCGAUUAUGUUCGUGUCCAAGUGAACAUGACAUCAGGAAACCUCUCACCAAGUUUGUUAGCAUUGUAAAGGGAAAGACUCGCAAUAUCUAUGCAGUAAGGUAUGAGAAGUUCGCAAGGUUUUGUAGCGCUUGUGGUACCAUUGGCCACGAGCACAAUGAAUGUGGCAAUGGGGUGUUUGCAGAGAAGGACCUCAAGUUUGGCCAGUAUGUGUAUGCAGAUCCGCUGGUGCGUGUCCGGUUAUACUGGGAACCUAUCCGGAGUGGGAGGAAGAUCAACAAUCGUAUAUCGACUCCUAAGUCGACCGUAGGUAAAGGGGAGGAUAUGUCUAAUGGAGAAAUUAAGGACACUGCUUCUAGUCCACUUAAACCUCCUCCUUAUGUGGACAUGGACAUGGAUAAGUCUUCUCGUAAGCGUCUGAAUAUGGAUGGUGUAUUGGCACCUCCUCCCGCUGGACCAUCUACCCCGGCUGGAGAUGUACUACUUCUGACACAUGGGAAGGUGGAUGCUGAUUCGGCCUCUCCCAGCAACACUACAGGUAGCAAACGUGUUAAGAUGGAUGGUGAAAACUCAAACUCUGAAAAUGUUUCAGCGGGCUCCCUGGAGGAGCACCGCCAGAUCCAAUGAGUCACCUAUUUUGGAAUUACCGGGAGGCGGGGACAUUACUAGGGAAAAUCCUAGCAGUAAUGCGGUUCUAAGGGCUAUCAGUAGUGCGGGGCACCGCGCUACUCCCGCGCUACUGAUAUGGCGCUACAGCUAUUUAGCAGUAGUGCUUCUGCUCGUGCUACUGCUAUAGCUACUUAGCAGUAUCGUUGUCCAUACCAGCGCUACUGCUAAGUGGCUUAGCAGUAGCGUACAACGCUAAAGAACGCUACUACUAUAUUUUCACAUAUCUUUUUUUGCUACGUAUUUGCGUUGUUUUUGUACAUAUUUUAUACAGUAUUCUAUGAUGAUCAUAUUGCCCGUUUAUGAUAUGAUUAUCAUACACAUAAUAGUCUCAUCAUAUCAUCCAACACAAACCAUGUCGUCACAUCAUAAUCAUGAUAUAGCUAUACAAGUUACAUUGCCUAUGCAUCAAUGGAGUCACAACAUCAUUCGGCAGUUUCUCUUGAAGAACAUAAUAGUAGCCUAGUUAGCAAUGUAAGGUGAGGCCUGCCCUCUCAUCAAGCUUGAUGGUGAAGAACCCGCCCUCUUGGAGGUGAGGCCUGUCGCACAAACCGUAAUCUUUGCCGUAGAAUUCACACUCACGGAUCCUAUCGUCGUCAUACAUUUCCUGUGUUCAAAAUUUUGGCAUGACCAUUAUUAAAAUAAGAGAUAUUGAGCGCCUGAAAUUUGCCAGAAUGGAAAUGAAUCAACAUUCCGGUAAAACUUAGGACUAUGAGGUAUUCCUUAAAUAAACUAUUAGUCGAGGCUUUCCUUAAAUAACUCUCAUAUCUCAUGGUGUAUUGGUGCGCACUCUCUCACACUGAUAUGGUGGUGUAUAUAUGUUGGUGGACACUUUCUCACACUAAUAGUUCGACCGUCGGUGAUGGGUUCUUCUCCUCUCCUCUUCUUGUGCAUUAUACCGGGGUAUAUACCGGAAGAAGAGAAGAGGAGGAAGCGCCCCCCACGACAACAGUCAGGAUUCCUCGAUCAAUAACACACAUGAAAGUCACACAAGGAGCAAUGACAAAUCGAUAGUCAACCCAAAGAUAAUAUCACUAAUACAUCUCGAAUAUUAUCAUAUAAUAUCACUAAUACAAAUCCAGUUGACGUCUCACGGCGUAGGCGGUGGCAACCCAAAGAUAAUGAACCAUCAUUGGAUCAUAGCUCGGGUGAUAUCCCUGAAGAACCUGCCAGGCAUUGGAGAACCUGGCAUCCAACGCAGCCAUGUCGCGAUGGAGGUGCUCGUCCUCCUCCCUGACACGGUGACGUACCACCUCCGUGGGGGCCAGCUCCCUCCGCACCGAUAGUGGCCCACGCGACCGCCAGCAAAGAAGCUCCGGGUUGACGACGAGACCCGGAUUCCUCACCAAGGUGCGCGCCCCGGAAGGUAGCACCUCCGAGUGCCAGCCCGGCGGAGCCUAGUCCCGGACAUGGCACCUAUCAAUCAGGCUCUCGCCGACCACUCGACGACGAGGAUGCAGGUCGGGCAUCGUCGACGUCGAGACAAAUUACUAUGAGAAAAAUUUCUUAUCGUUUAAUGUUUUACUUUCCACUUAUCAUUUGCACAUCAAUCAUCUCAUUUGAAUUUAGCUAGCGCCCACUAACCUAUUUUUCUCAACAUGCAAGUAUGACACCUCAUCGAGCAAGUAUGCAAUAAUAAAACACAAUAUAUAUUGCAAAUAUUCCCGCAACAACGUUCGGGGCAUGAUCUAGUCCCUAGCAAGAAUACUAGCAAGAACCCUAGGCGUGGGGAUGUCUCACCAGAUGUCGGGGUUGGUGUAGGGGUCGGCGCAGGGGUCAAGGUCGUCGGGCUCGAGGUCGGGGUCGGGGCCGGGAUUGAGGUCGUCGGGGUCUAGGUCGGGGUUGGGGCUAGGGGUGAGGUCGCCGGGGAGGACCUGCGGUGGCGGCAGCGUAGAGUGGAGAGGGAGAGAGGAAGGAGGGGAGAGAUAGGGAGUGAGGGGCGGGGCAAUGGCGCGGAGUGGAGAGGGAGAGAGUGAGGAGGGGGAGAGGGAGGGAAUGAGGGGCGGGGCGGCGACGCAGAGUGGAGAGGGAGGGAGUGAGGAGCGGCGGUGGCGGCGCAGAGUGUGGAGAGGGAGAGGGAGGAACGUGUGGGGGCGAAUACGAUAUAAGUACAUGCCCCAGUUAGCAGUAGUGGGGGUCGGAAACACGCGCUACUACUGUUCUGUUAGCAGUGGCGUUGUUAUCUGAGGCGUGCUACUACUAAAUCUAGCGUGGCGACAACGGUAGGGGCAAUAUUAGUAGUAGCGUGUUUCUUAAAGCCGCGCUACUGUUAAGUAGUUAGCAGUAGCGCCUUUAUUGGAUGUGCACUACUGAUAUGUAGUAGUAGCAAUGUCGUUUAUCCAGCGCUACUGUUAAGAUUCUGUGUAUAAGGUUUUCCCUAGUAGUGGGAACCGCCGGACAGUUCGUGAAGUUGGGGCUCUUGUAAAAGCCCAUUCCCCAAGGCCGGUCUUUCUUGCUGAAACAAGACAGUCGAGUGCAAAAAUUAAAGGUUUGAAAUGGAAAUUAGGAUUGAAAGUUUCUCUCGCGUGGAUUAUGAUGGCCAUGGAGGGGGUACUAGCGUUGUUCUGGGACGAGUCCCUCCAGGUGACGGUACUAGACUCGUGUAAAAGAUUUAUUGAUGUGAGUAUUGUUGAUCAAGGUUAUGGAAAAGCAUGGAGGUCUACCUUCGUUUAUGGAGAAUCAUGUGUUGAACACCGUCAUCACAUGUGGGAACAUCUGGUUUGAUUAAAGGGGACCUCGACUCUACCCUGGGUAGUCUGUGGAGAUUUCAAUGAGGCUCUUUGGCAACAUGAGCAUUUCUCGCGUACUAGUAGAGGUGAAAACCAAAUGGAAGCAUUCAGAGACACACUGUUGUUAUGUGAGCUUAUGGACAUGGGAUUCUCAGGUGUAUUGUAUACAUAUGAUAAUGGGAAACUAGGGAUUGGCAAUGUCCGGGUUCGGCUAGACCGGGCGUGUACAACAGAUGAUUGGAGGGAGGUGUUCCCAUUUGUGAGGGUGCAACACCUUGUCUCUCCCCAAUCGGAUCACUGCCCCGUCCUAUUAUUCCUGGAUGAAUCUGAUGACCGACGUCGUAGGGGCGCCUAAAUAUGAAAUAACGUGGGAAAGACACAUGAAACUUCCGGAGGUGAAUUCAAAGGCGUGGGCACGGGCUCGUCCGAGGGGUGACUUAGGCAAUGUUGCAGCCUCCCUUAAGUCAGUUAUGACUGAUCUUCAGAAGUGGAGCAAAGAGAAUUUUGGGCAUGUUGAGAAAAAAAUUGAGGAACUCCACGAGAAAUUGGAGACAUUACAGCUCUCUAGCGCUGACCGCGUGCUAAUCCGCCAAAAUAUGGAAAAAUUAGACGAACUAUUGUACCAUGAGGAAAUGAGGCUGCACCGUAGCCAUAUUGUUUGGUUGAAGGAAGGCGGUCGUAAUACUCAAUACUUCCAUCGGCAAGCGGUUUGGCGAGCUAGGAGGAAUAAUAUAAGGAGACUACAGAAAGAAGACGGAUCAUGGUGCAAUGUCCCCAUGGAGAUGGAACGCAUGACAGCUUCAUACUUCAAGGAAGUGUAUACGAAGGAUCCCACUUUAUCUCCUGAUGCAAUUUUAGACCUUAUUAUGCAGAAGGUAACUCAGGAUAUGAAUGCGAGAUUGCUUGCCCCCUUUACAGAUACUGAGAUCUCAGAUGCAUUAUUCCAAAUAGGACCGCUAAAAGCACCCGGUCCGGAUGGGUUUCCAGCUCGGUUUUAUUAGAAAAAUUGGGGUUGUCUGAAGGGAGGAAUCAUAGCGGUUGUACGGGCCACAUGCCAUAUGGAGUUAAUGAUACAUCUAUUGUGUUGAUCCCAAAGUUCCAACACCCGACUUCGCUCAAGGAUUUCCGUUCGAUAUCGUUAUGCAAUGUGAUAUAAAAGAUUGUGUCAAAAUACACGGUUAAUCGUCUCAGGCCCUUCUCAUCGAACUUAUGUCUAAAAAUCAAAGUACGUUCAUCCCGGGCCGACUAAUCUCGGAUAAUUCGAUUAUAGCUUUUGAAUGUAUCCACCAUAUCCAAACCUCCCCCGGAGGCAAUGAUUUUUGUGCUUAUAAUGUGGAUGUCUCAAAAGCAUAUGAUCAUAUUGAUUGGGUUUUUUAGGAGCGUGCACUAUUGAAGUGGGUUUUCUCCCCCAAUGGGUAUCUCAAGUUAUGGACUGUGUUCGGUCGAUCAGAUUUUUGGUGAAAUUUAAUGGACUUCUGUUGGAGCAAUUUACACCUUCCCGUGGUUUGCGACAAGGUGACCCUUUAUCACCCUUUGUAUUCCUCUUUGUGGCUGAUGCUUUGUCUAUUCUAUUACAUAAUGUUGUCCAGCAAAGAGGUCGUAAAGCAAUCAAAAUAUGUAGAAGAGCUCUCCUGCCAUCUCACAUAUGUUGUUUGCGGAUGAUUCUGCGCUUUUCUUUCGAGCAACUAGCGAUUAUGCUAUGAUUGUUACAAUGUUUUGAGCACUUAUGCUUCAGCUGCGGUUCAACUCAUAAACCCCUUGAAGUCUUUUGUCCUCUUUGCUGACAGUUGUCCUAGUCAAGUUGCUGAUGAGGUAAAGCAUAUACUCGGCAUGACGCAACAAGAAUUUGAAACUAAGUACUUGGGGCUCCCGGUUCUAGAAGGGUGUAUGCAUAAAGGUCGUUUUGAGUCUAUGCAGUUCAGAUCGAGCAAUCGUUCGGUUGACUGGAGUGAAAGGUACUCUUCUUUUGCUAGUAAGGAGGUGAUGCUAAAGGUCAUCCCUCAGACCAUCCCGGUCUAUGUGAUGAGUAUCUUCAAGCUUCCUCUUUCUGUUUGUGAUGACUUGACAAAAAUGAUUAGACAAUAUUGGUGGGGUGUGGAGAAUGGUAAGAAGAAGAUGGCAUGGGUUGCUUGGGGGAAAAUGACCCUCCCAAAAACUAAAGGGGGCAUUGGUUUUCGUGAUAUGUGAGUGUAUAAUCAUGCCUUACUCGCCAAGCAAGCCUCGAGGCUUCUUACAUCCCCAGAUUCACUUUGUGCAUGACUUCUUCGGGCUAAAUACUUCCCCAAUGGGAACUUGAGGGAUACAGUUUUUCCGGCUAAUAGUUCAGCGGUGUGGAAAGGAAGCGAACAUGGCCUGGAAUUAGUGAAGAAAGGGAUGCUUUGGCCUGUUGGCAAUGGUGCAAGUAUACGAGCGUGGAGAGAUCCCUGGAUCCCAAGGGGUCCGCCGUUUACACAGAUUUUUCCAAAAUGCAAUUGCCGCCUUAAUAGAGUCGUGGAUUUCCUUGAUGAUCAGGGUAAUUGGAAUACAGACUUGUUGCAACAAUUCUUCUGCCAAGCGGAUAUUGAAUCGAGUUUGAUGAUCCGGACGUCCCCGCGGCAACAGGAGGAUUUCAUUUGAUGGCCAUGGGAUAGAUCAGGUAACCUGACAGUGAAAAGUGCCUACAAUUUUGCAAUGUCCUCUCUAAGUGAGCAAGAUUGUAUGGGGGCGUCUAGCUCCUCUCCUAUGGGGGAAUGUCCCUUAUGGAAGCUAAUCUGGGGCGGGGUUGUACCUCCCAAAAUGAGACAUUUUGCUUGGCAAGUCAGUUCAGAUUCAUUGCCCACAAAUGCAAAGAAGAGCAGGAGGCACCUUAGGACAGCCGCGUAUUGUAGUCUAUGCGAUCGAGACAAGGAAUCAUCAUUUCAUGCCUUACUAGUGUGUCCUACUGCUCCUCUCUUGUGGGAUACAAUGCGGUUGGUCAUGGCACUGCCGAACCCAUUGGACAUUAUAUGUACAGGGGACGAAUGGCUUCUUCAUCUCCUUGUUGAAUCACAUGAACAAGUCAGGAGCACGAUCAAUAUGGUUUUGUGGCGAAGUUGGCAUCUCCAAAACGAACUCACACAUGGUAAACCAAUCCCACCAUUGAAAGUUUCCUGAUCGUUUCUUUCUAGCUAUUACAACACUUUCAAUCAAAUCUCGAUGAGUAUUGAGGAGAUCAUUAAAGGAAAAGCCCUGAUGAUAGCUGAUAUGCACAGCGAGAAUAGAAUAAAGAGCUUCGUGUACCUUGCAGGCCAUGGCCAAAUUCCUCUACACGCGAGGUCGCAUUGUCGACCGACGGCUCGUUCGAUCUUGCGAACGGCUCGACAGGAACAUGCAUGAUUCUUCGAGUUGAUAAAGGUGGGCUUAUUUUUGCAUCCUACCGCAAACUCUUUCAUUGCAAUGAAGCCCUGUAAGCAGAAUUACAGGCUAUGAUGAAAGGGCUCAAGUUGUCAGUGGAACAUUCAAAUGCCACAUUCCUGCUUCAGUAUGAUUAUGUUGUGGCCCUCAAGAUGCUCUCUCAUGAUUCCCUUAAUAGAUAAGUGUAUAGCCAUUUGGUUUUGGAGAUCAAAAGUUACUUGAGUGACAAGGUUGUUAUUCGUGUUAAAAUCCUUCGUGAACAGAAUAGGGUUGCACAAUGUUUAGUGAACUUUGGUAGAUGUGGCGAUAGCAUAGCCUGUUGGUUGGGCCAUCCUCCCCCAUGCAUGAGCAAUUUAGUCGGUGAAGAUUGUAACUCUAUCAUUGUGGAAUCAAAACCCUACACUUUUCCGCAAAAAAUACAUUUUUUGCAAGCUGAAAUAAAUUAUGUAUUUCUUGCCUAUGUACUAUCCACUACAAAAGUACAUGGUUUUUUUAUGUGUAGCUCACAUGGAAACCUAUUUUAUCGAAGCCACCAGCGUCUUUCCUCCUCCUCAAGAAAAGACUCCUUCCUCCUGCCAUCGGUGUCGUCCCCUAUCCGCCCCACCUCUAAUGGCCUUUGGACCUUGGAGGUGUGAAGGAUCUUGACCCCCUCCCUCGAGGGCAGGAGGGACCCCAUUCUUGUUUUUUUAGGUUCAACGACUUGGUUGGGAUUGUGCGGUGGUGGUUUUGUUCCUUAGUUGGAAUAAUGUCUCUGACGUCUGAUCCAUGUUCCGAUGGUGCAAAUAGCAUCAUCGAAGAACACAUGGAGGUCUGUCGCCAUCGGAUCUUGCGGGAUUCGGGCGAUACUAGUCUUCAGUGGAUCUAUUUGGAUCCAUUUUUUGUUCGUCUUCGUUCAUGUAGUUACAGGUUUGAUCUUUUCGAUCUAUAACUCUCUUCAUCGACGAUGAUUGCUGCUUUGGUGCGUUGGUCCUUUGAGCCUUUAGCACGAUGUGUUUCGGACUGUCUAUUACAAUAAGGUUUGUCCGGCUUCUGUAAAGGAGGGACGAUGAUGGCCACGCGUCUUCGGCUCGCUCCAGUGCUUGUGGUCCUCGCUACGUGGUUCAUAGUCUCGGUUGUAAUUUUUAUUACCUCUAGUGCUCUCUGUACCGCCAUAGUUGAUGAAUAUAUUGGAGAUUUCUCUCGCAAGAAAAAUAUUUAAUCAUGAAAUUUUACAGACAUAUAGUAUAUAUAUAUAUAUAUNNNNNNNNNNNNNNNNNNNNNNNNNNNNNNNNNNNNNNNNNNNNNNNNNNNNNNNNNNNNNNNNNNNNNNNNNNNNNNNNNNNNNNNNNNNNNNNNNNNNNNNNNNNNNNNNNNNNNNNNNNNNNNNNNNNNNNNNNNNNNNNNNNNNNNNNNNNNNNNNNNNNNNNNNNNNNNNNNNNNNNNNNNNNNNNNNNNNNNNNNNNNNNNNNNNNNNNNNNNNNNNNNNNNNNNNNNNNNNNNNNNNNNNNNNNNNNNNNNNNNNNNNNNNNNNNNNNNNNNNNNNNNNNNNNNNNNNNNNNNNNNNNNNNNNNNNNNNNNNNNNNNNNNNNNNNNNNNNNNNNNNNNNNNNNNNNNNNNNNNNNNNNNNNNNNNNNNNNNNNNNNNNNNNNNNNNNNNNNNNNNNNNNNNNNNNNNNNNNNNNNNNNNNNNNNNNNNNAUAUAUAUAUAUAUACAAAAGAAAAAUAUAUCCGACCACCCAGGGAUAGUUAUCCCACAUGUUCCAUAUACUAUCAUGCGGUAGUAUAUAUAUUAAUUUAUCAUUUUCAUUAUGUUUAUAUAUUAUAUAUAAGAUUUUUCAAAGUGAGUUACAUGAAAAAAAAAUACAAGUUAGCCCAUAGUUUUUAUUAUAUUUGUAAAACACAUAUAUUUUUGUACGUAAAAAAUAACAUACACAAAAUAUGAUACAUACUAUCAAAAAAAUAGUAUAUAUACUACAUAAACAUUAUUAUAUACUACAUACUACGCGUACAUACUCUCCGAUUUGUAGAUACUACAUACAACAUACAAAACGCAAGUGGUGGUAACUACCACCGGUGAUAGAUAAAAUUUAUUAUAUNAAAAAAAUAUCUACGUGAUCGUAGCAAAAAAACGAAGCUGAUGGUGCGUGGUAGCAAAAGUCAAACGCCGGUUGUAACAAAUAUUUACGUGACGUGUAUGCAACUUUUUUAGUGAACGGUUGCAGCAAAACAUGAUGCCGGUUGUAGCAGAAAUUAACACGGUUGUAGCAAAAGUAAAAAAACAUCGAUUGUAACGAAAAAUCCGACGAACUGAAGUUGCAACCAAACGUAUAUGCAGCUUUUUUACUGGGACAAAAUGUUGUAAAAAAAUGAUUGCAGUAAAAAUGACGCUGGUUGCAACAAAUUUAGACGAAAAAUGUUGCAUCCACUGACAAGCAAAACGCGCGGGUGGGAAAAUGUUGCAUGGGCCCGUGCGCGAGGGGGCGACCGGCGCGUCGGUUCAGCCGGCGCCGUAUGGAAACGAUUCCCUUUAGGGAAACGCUUCUGGCCGGUGCGCCGGCCGAACCGUUCGGCCGGCCGCACGCGACCGCGCGGGCGUUCGCUGACUUGGAUGCAACUUUCUUCGUCUAAAAUUGUUGCAACCGACAUCAUAUUUGCUGCAAGCGUUUUGUUUUGCUACAUCUGUCCGCUAAAAAAGCUGCAUCCACGGUUGGUUGCAACUUUAGUUCGCCGGAUUUUCGUUACAAUCGCUGUUUUUUACUUUUGCUACAACCGUGUUAAUUUUUGAUACAAUCGGCAUCAUUUUUUGUUGCAACCGUUUACUAAAAAAGUUGCAUCCACGUCACGAAGAUAUUUGCUACAACCGGCGUUUGACUUUUUCUACGAUGCACCAUCAGCUUCGUUUUUUUGCUACGAUCACGUAGAUAUUUUUUUGCUACAAAUUUUAUUUUUUAUUGCAACCGUUGAAAAAAUUGCUGCAUCGCGCCGAAAUUUACUGCAUCGAAGAAAAAAAUGUUGCAUGGAAGAUCCAACGGUGUGGACGACGCGGGUUGAUGGAUCCUCCGGCUCGGGCGCAGCGGACCGAAAGUUUCGACCGGCGCGCCGGCGCACGAAAUCAUAAUGGUGAUUCGCUGGGCGAGCUCCAACAUCAGCCACCCAACCUGCAGGUUAAAUAUUAAAUAAAUCGCUCAUCUACGUGGCUACCGCCUGCAUCGCCACAUCCAUAGCAGAUGGCAGCCGAACACGUCUGCUUGGGCAUGGGAGUUGGACAGACCGACGAAACGGGUCUAUUCUCGUCCAAAUUUUGCCUCCAGCGCAUUUCUUGGUAAGAGUAGAUUACUACUAGUAGUAUGGUACCACCCGUGUCCCUCGUGGUUGCCCCGCAUCAAUGGCCUCCACAUGGUUCACUUUCAUGGCAUUAAGCAGGGGCGUCAGGCACCGGAUCAGAAGCAAUAAAUAAUCCUAAUCCUCUCGCGAAGAGCGUGGCUCUUCCCGUUCACGAAGGGCCGGCCGGGUAGAUUACUGAGUCUUACUACUUGAUAAAUUACCGCGAUAGUUGUAAGCAUCUCGCUCAAGUGUAUAUAAAUGCCGGCAGUGGCCAUCCAGUUCUCACAUCCAUUGCAUCCAUCUCUCGAGUGAGCAGCAAUGGGUUCCCUUCACAAGGGUGGGGUUUGGUGGUUGCUCCUGCUCGCCGCGGUGCUGCUGGCUACCGCGGCGGCAGGCGCGGAGCAGGACGAUGGGGCGGCAGCCACUGCCGUCCCGGAGGUGGAGGUGGAGGUGGAGGAGGUCGGCCGGCCCGUCGAUGAUCAGGGCAACGACUCGUGCGACAUCAAGUGCCAACAUCAUAAAGUUCCGGCGAGGAAGAAACAGUGCGUCGACGAGUGCCACAGCCGGGAGCAUCAUCACCCAAGCAGGGCGUCUUGCGAGAGGAAGUGUAGCCAUUGGAGAGACCCGGCAAGGAAGGAACAGUGCGUGCAGCAGUGCAUGCGCUACGGCCUCAACCUCGACGUGGGCGGCGGUGACGAUGUCAUCGAGCGCCCCCACGCCGAGGAGGUGGAGGUCGAUGAUCAGAGCAACGACUCGUGCGACCACAAGUGCCAACAUCAUAAAGUUCCGGCGAGGAAGAAGCAGUGCGUGGACGAGUGCCACAGACGGGAGCAUCAUCACCCGAGCAGGGCGGCUUGCGAGAGGAAGUGUAGCCAUUGGAGAGACCCGACAAGGAAGGAACGGUGCGUGCAAACGUGCAUGCGCUACGGCCUCAACCUCGAUGUGGGCGGCGGCGACGGCGACGGCGACGGCGAGCAGCUCCGCCGCUGGGAAGCGGUGGCCGGAGCCAUCAUCGAGGUGGUGUGACGUCCGCGGCGUCGCGCACCUAAUAAUAAUAAGAAUAAUGUAAUGGCGCUUCUGCGUGUGUACACGCUUCUAUAUAUACGCCCGCGUAUACGUCUUGCUAGCUAUGACGGCAAAGGCGUGAGAAUAAAAGACCAAUAGCUUGCAGUAGCAGCAUGAUUGGCGAUGCCUCUCCUAGAAGAGAGCUCCAUGGAACUCUGUUCCUUUUCCUUCUUUUAGCAGGUUGGUCUGCUAUGUAUGUUUACCGCAAGAAGAAGCAAGAGCUGCAUGUGUAUGUGUACGUGUAUGUAUACAUGCAUGUGUAAUGUAAUGUGUAUGUGUAUGUGUU